UUCCGGUUGAUCCUGCCGGACCUGACUGCUAUCGGAUUGAUACUAAGCCAUGCGAGUCUUUGUAGUAAUACAAGGCAGACGGCUCAGUAACGCGUAGUCAACCUACCCUAUGGACGGGAAUAAUCUCGGGAAACUGAGCAUAAUACCCGGCGUACCACCAUUCCUGGAAUGGUUGGUGGUUAAAAUGAUUCGUCGCCGUAGGAUGGGACUGCGACUUAUCAGCUUGUUGGUGAGGUAAAGGCCCACCAAGGCGAUUACAGGUACGGGCUCUGAGAGGAGAAGCCCGGAGAUGGGUACUGAGACACGGACCCAGGCCCUAUGGGGCGCAGCAGGCGAGAAAACUUUGCAAUGUGCGAAAGCACGACAAGGUUAAUCCGAGUGAUUUCUGCUAAAGGAAUCUUUUGCCAGUUCUAAAAAUACUAGUGAAUAAGGGGUGGGCAAGUUCUGGUGUCAGCCGCCGCGGUAAAACCAGCACCUCAAGUGGUCAGGAGGAUUAUUGGGCCUAAAGCAUCCGUAGCCUGCUCUGUAAGUUUUCGGUUAAAUCUAUAUGCUCAACGUAUAGGCUGCCGAAAAUACUGCAGUGCUAGGAAGUGGGAGAGGUAGACGGUACUUGAUAGGAAGGGGUAAAAUCCUUUGAUCUAUCGAUGACCACCUGUGGCGAAGGCGGUCUACCAGAACACGUUCGACGGUGAGGGAUGAAAGCUGGGGGAGCAAACCGGAUUAGAUACCCGGGUAGUCCCAGCUGUAAACGAUGCAGACUCGAUGAUGCAUUGGCAUAUAGCCAGUGCAGUGUCGCAGGGAAGCCGUUAAGUCUGCCGCCUGGGAAGUACGUACGCAAGUAUGAAACUUAAAGGAAUUGGCGGGGGAGCACCACAAGGGGUGAAGCCUGCGGUUCAAUUGGAGUCAACGCCGGG
rnacentral:rRNA from 1 species